CAACUUCCGAGGCGCCCUCAUUGCCAGCCGGACCCCAGCCUCCGACAGGUUCGGGCGCCCUGCUUGCCCCGUGCUUCGCCGGCCCCCGCCCAGCGCCCGGCCCCUCCGGCUCCACUCCGCUCGCUCGGUCGGUCGCUCCGACGCCAUGGACACGUUUUGGUGGCGCGCAGCUUGGGGACUCUGCCUCGUGCAGCUGAGCCUGGCGCAGAUCGAUCUGAAUAUAACCUGCCGAUAUGCAGGCGUAUUCCACGUGGAGAAGAAUGGUCGCUACAGCAUCUCCAAGACUGAGGCUGCCGACCUCUGCAAGGCCUUCAAUAGCACGCUGCCCACCAUGGCCCAGAUGGAGGUGGCCCGGAGCAUAGGGUUUGAGACCUGCAGGUACGGGUUCAUAGACGGGCAUGUGGUGAUUCCCCGGAUCCACCCCAAUUCCAUCUGUGCUGCGAACAACACAGGGGUUUACAUCCUCACAUCCAACACCUCCCAGUAUGACACGUACUGCUUCAAUGCCUCAGCUCCACUUGGAGAAGACUGUACCUCAGUCACGGACCUGCCCAAUGCCUUUGAAGGACCCAUUACCAUAACUAUUGUAAACCGCGAUGGCACCCGUUAUACCAAGAAAGGCGAAUACAGAACGAACCCCGAAGACAUCAACCCCAGCAUCGUGAGCCCCAGCAGCCCUCCUGAUGAUGAGAUGAGCAGUGGCUCCCCCAGCGAGAGAAGCACGUCAGGAGGCUACAGCAUCUUCCACACGCACCUCCCAACUGCGUACCCACCCCCAGACCAAGACAGCCCCUGGGUCUCCAGCAAACCAGAGAAUACCUCGGAUACCACUCAGAUACUAAAGCAAGUCACCGCAACAGGUACGGAUUCAAGUAUCAUCUCAGCAGGCUGGGAGCCAACUGAAGAAAAUGAAGAUGAAAGAGACAGACACCCCAGUUAUUCUGGAUCAGGCAUUGAUGAUGAUGAAGAUUUUAUCUCCAGCACCAUUUCAACCACACCACGGGUUUUUACCCACCCACAACAGAACCCGAAUUGGAUCCAAAGGAACCCAGACCAUUCGAAUCCAGAAGCAUCACCUCAGACAACCACAAGGAUGACUGAUGUGGACAGAAGUAGCACCAGUGCUUAUGGAGAACGCUGGACCCAGGAACCGCACUCUUCUCUCAGUCACCAUGGGUAUCAGGAUGAAGAGGAGACCCCGCAUCCUACAAGCACAACCCAGGCACCCACUACUAGUACAGCAGAAGAAACAGCUACCCAGAAAGAGCAGUGGUUUGAGAAUGGAAGGCCUGGGGAAUAUCCCCAAACACCAAAAGAAGACUCUCAUUCAACAGCAGGGACAACUGUCACAGCAGCCUCAACGCAUGUCAGCCAUCCCCGUCAAAGAGUGACAACGCAGAGCCAAGAGGACAGUUCCUCGACUUACUUCUUCGACCCAGUCUCGCAUCCAAUGGGGCGAGGUCAUCGAACAAAAGGAAGGAUGGAUACAGACACCAGCCCUAGUACAACGCUUCAGCCUUCUGCAGAUCCAAACACGAGUUCGGUGGGAGACUUGGACAGGACAGGACCUCUCUCAAUGACAACUCAGCAGAGUGAUACUCACAGCUUCUCUCCAUCGCAUGGCGGCUUAGAAGAAGACAAAGGCCACUCAACGACUGCUACUCCAACAUCUAUCAGAGACUAUGGCUCGUCCCACGACCCCAGUGGAAGGUCCUAUACAACUCAUGCAUCUGAAUCAGCUGGACACUCAAGUGGGAGUGAAGACCAUGGGGCAAACACAACCUCAGGUCCUAUACGGAAACCUCAAAUUCCGGAAUGGCUGAUCAUCUUGGCAUCUCUCCUGGCCUUGGCUUUGAUUCUCGCGGUUUGCAUUGCUGUCAACAGUAGGAGAAGGUGUGGGCAGAAGAAAAAACUGGUGAUCAACAAUGGGAAUGGAACCAUGGAGGAGAGAAAGCCUAGCGGACUCAACGGAGAAGCUAGCAAGUCUCAGGAGAUGGUGCAUUUGGUGAACAAGGGGUCGUCAGAGACCCCAGACCAGUUUGUGACGGCAGAUGAGACACGGAACCUGCAGAAUGUGGAUAUGAAGAUUGGGGUGUAACACCUACUCUGUGACCUUGGAAAUAAACCACCAUUGGAGACACAACCAUUACAGGGAGCUGGGACACUUCACAGAUGCAGUGUGCUACUGAUUGUUUCAUUG
rnacentral:lncRNA from 1 species